GCUAUUCAGAUGGCGACCGGCGCACGGGCGAGUAACGCGUAGUCCAACUUCCUGCCAGUAGGGAACAGCCCGGCGAAAGUCGGAUUAAUGCCCUAUGUUCUUCAAUGCGGACAUCUAAGUUGAAGGAAAGAUUCAUCGCUGGCAGAUGGGGAUGCGUCCGAUUAGCUUGCCGGCGGGGUAACGGCCCACCGGGGCGACGAUCGGUAGGGGUUCUGAGAGGAAGGUCCCCCACACUGGUACUGAGACACGGACCAGACUCCUACGGGAGGCAGCAGUGAGGAAUAUUGGGUCAAUGGGCGUAAGCCUGAACCAGCCAAGUAGCGUGCAAGGGAUGACGGCCCUACGGGUUGUAAACUGCUUUUAUGCGGGGGAUAAAGUGCGGCACGUGUGCCGCUUUGCAGGUACCGCAUGAAUAAGGACCGGCUAAUUCCGUGCCAGCCGCUGC
rnacentral:rRNA from 1 species